CGGCCGCCAUCCCCCCAACCCCCACCAUUCCCGCGCCCCGCCGGCAUUCCCCGCACCGUCAGUGUCCCCGUGCUGUACCCGGACCUGCGGCGGGAGGUCAGGGUUGGCGAGGGCUGCUGCGCCCGGGGAGCGGGACCGCCUUGUGAGGGGGAAAAAUGAACCCUUGGCAGGUGUUUGCGUAGGAGACUUCGGUGUGAGCAGUGAACGCCUGGAAAAGGCGUGAGGGAUCGAUGGCAGGGGAUUCUGAGGGGAUACCUGAGGCAGCCGGUGCCGUGCUCUGCAGCCGCCCCGAUGCCGUGGUGCCGGCACUGCCAGGGUACACGUGGUGAAUAGUGCCCUGCAUUGUACGUGCUCGAGUGAUCACGAUGCAGCCUUUGGACCCCACGGAUGGGGUGGGGAAAAAAUCCAGUCCAUUUUCUCUGAUGCUACUGGACUGAGCACUUCUGCCAUAGGAUUUGCCAGUUAUUGUUGACAGUUCCCUGCCAGCCUCCUGUGGCCCCUUGGCUCUGCGGAUCGUGGGGCAGGCAGAAUGAAGGAAAGAGUGGUCAUCUCCUGUCACCCAUCCCUGUCCUAAUAACAGAUGUCCCCAAGUCAGCAGAAAACAGAGGAAGGAGAAAGCUUCUCAUGGAAACGGGCUUUUUUGUGGACAUUAUGACUGAAAUACUAAUGCUGGUGAGGAGCACCAUGGUCAGCACACAAGAUAGGAGACCAGCAGACCUUUCCCCAGGACAGGCGAGAGCAGAACCCCCUCACCCGAGGAGCCCCAGCUGCUGAGCUAUUACAAGGACUAAGCGGUGUAUUCGAGCAAGAUGGAUCCCGUCCCAAAGCUUUGCAUGUAAAAACACACACUUUGAAUUUCACAGGAGCCAAAGCUGCCUGCCAGGAACACUAGGAGGAACACACUCAGCCAGUGGGUGUUCUGUGCUCACACAGGGAAGCUCCCUUUUGAUCUCUGGGUUUAGUCUUAUGGACUGUUCUCUGCAGAAACCCAAACUCCAGGUGACAGAAGCACAGUAAGGCCCACCUCCAGGGGAAAAAAUAAAAGAACAAAAAGUAUCCACUUCCAAACAAAGCGGAAGCAGCUGCAGAAACAGGAAAGUCCCUAAGACAGAAACCAACACUAUUAUCAAGCAGCAGAGCCCUCCAGUGCAGACUGCUGAAAUAAACCUGAUCUCAGCCAUUUAGGUUGCAUUCACACUGAAGUCUGUAUUAGGCAUUGUUACAUGUAUCAUCCAAACACACCUGCCAAAUGUGGUGGAACAGAAAGAUCUAAACUUGUUUAGGAAUGGCAUUAUUAACAUCUCUUCCUUCUCUCAGCUAAAUGAAUCACCUGGUACUUUAUUAAAUAAAGUUUCUAUCAGCCUUUCCACCACCACCUAAUAAACACACUGAAGAUGACAGAGUAGGAAUCCAUGGUUCAUUUCCUGCUGCUCUCUCCAGAGAAAAGCCCACACAUCUGAGUAACUAUUUGCAGAUGAUGUCUGGAAAGAAAAAAGAAAAAUAUUUUGAGGGACUCUACUUUAAAGCCACUUUUACUAAGAUUGCGAAAGAGAAUUUAGGAUCAUUAUUUUCACCGUCCAAGUUUGAAAAUUUUCUCUUAAUGCUAGAGCUUCCUUUCUUACUGCUUCUACCUGUCUUGUUUCACAGCUUCAAAUUUCACACCUACACCCUUCUUUCCUCCCACUCUCUUUGUCUCUGUAAAAAACCCCUGUCAUCCAUGACUUUUUCAUAUGUCGUUCCUUUCACCCUCACCAAGUCCUGGGUCCUUUUUUUAUCUUCCCUCUCUUUCAGAAGUUUCUCUUUUCCAUUCAUUUCUAUCCUCCCUGACACAUCUCAUGGCAGUCACACUGGACUUUUGCUCUUUCCCUGUCCAUACUCCUCCCAGGCUACACCUUUUUCUCGACUGUUAGCAACAUUAAAUAUGACCCUUCUCACUUUCCCCUAUCAUUUUCUUUCUGUUUGCUCUCCAUCUUCAGCCUUGUUCUUUUGAUUUCAGCUCAAGGCAUUAUUUUAUUUUCACUGUCUUCCAUGUAAGUCUUUAUCAAUUCACAUGAGCCCUUAGCUGAAGAGUCCCAUUUCUCCCUUCUGUGUUCAUUCCUCUUUCAGUUCAGCCUAUACCAAGGCUUACAGCCUUGAACUAAUUUUCAUCAGCCAUAUUUUUGAAUCUCUGACACCGUGUUCCUCUCUUUUAAACAAUGAUCAUAUACCUUGCACCCACAUACUUGAGGUCAUCUUCUCCCUCAAACCUUGUCAGUCAAUCUUUUCACAAUUUUCAGAUGAUCAACACUUCUUGUUAUUUGUCUCCCUUCUCUUUUCCCCACAUUUCUUGUCUCCUUUCUCUUUUAUCCCAAGUAUUUGUGUUAAUUUUUUACCUCCUUCUCUUCACCCCUUUUCCCCACUGCAAGCUUUUUUUGUCCUUCUGUAUUUCUUCCUGUUUCCUAGUUAAGUAAUUCUCUAUUCUCCAGUUGGGGAACAUCUGUCAUCUUAAGUAGGAUUUUUAGCUACCCUGAAUCAUCCUCCCUUUUACUCUUCUCCUGCAUCUCCUUCACUCUCCACAUUGGUAUCUCACCAAUGUCUUCUACAUGAAGACAUCUGCUUUCCAUCAUUUCCCUUUCUGUAACUCCUUUCCUUCUUCCAUGUCUCAUCUUAAGAAUUUCUCUUUUCCAACUCCUCCAUUUGCCUCAGUUCUUCCAUCCUGAGCAAACUGUUGUUCACUCCUCCUUCAGUUCUCACGCUCCCACCAAAAACAUUCUUUUUCUGAUCCCCUUUUCUCACCAGCUACAAACUGCUCUGCUUCUCAUUCCCAUCUCCAAGCUCAUUAGAUUUACCUCUUCUCCAGUUUCAUUCCAGAACCUCUGCAAACUAGGUUUCUCCCCUUAGACAAAACAUAAUCUGCUUUUACCUUUGACUGUUACUGGUUUUGAACUGAAGUUGAAAAAUAAUAAUCCAUCACUGAAACCUUGUCCUUCUUAAGUUUGUAAGAUUUUACUUUGUUGUUGUUUUUCUCUCUGUGCAUCUAUCCAUUGCCACUUCAUGUUAUUUGGCAUUUUUUUUAAGACCCACCUCCAGCAUUUAUGACAAUAUGACCCUAUGAUGAUUUAGUUAUUAUUUUGAAUAUUCAUCUCUUCACUCAGAUCUGACUGUUUUUAUUCAAAGGAAAGCGUCAGAAAAUUUGGCUAAGAUUUGUUCUCCAGGGACAUGACCCCAAGAAUGAUAUGUUUAAAACAGCACUUUUAGUUGCAUCUCCUUUGCAGUCACCAUGACAAAUCAUAUCUAGCCUGCCAUUUAUCUGCACUUUCCACCUCCAUCUUUUUUUUCAUAGCCAAAUUAUGCUGAAAUCCUAACAAGACUUUUUUUUCUAACAUUUCUAGUAGAAGGCUUUUUGCAUUUAUAUGCAUACUUAAAACUCAUCCAAAUUUUCAUUAUACCACACAUUUAUUGCUGCAACAUCUGUUUUCUUACCCUUGCCAUGAACUACCUUAAUAAUUCAUCAUCACUAUGGGAGAUGGCAAGUUCUAAAUCUUCCUGUCCUAAAACCCUCUCUUUGUUCCCUCCUCUUUACAGCACCAGGACACACUGUCUUCAUUUUGAAGUCCAUUUGCAUUUUGUCCCCACUAUAUCAUCUCUCAAACUCUCACAUCCACCCUACCCAGGAUGGUAGAUAUUAUCUGCUUGUUAAAAAUUCAGGAAUGCACAUCCAUGUUAUCUCCUGUGUGCUCUUAUGUGUCCUUGCUGGGUUCCUCAUAAACACCAGGAAAGCCAGUUCAGUAUUUUCCUCAAAAACCUAUGUUUGAGGUUCACCUCUGCCAUGAUGCUACAGAUUUGGAUACAUCUAGCCAAAUGUCUAUCAUAUGUAUGAAACAGAAUGAUCCUCUUAUUUGGUGUUUGUAUGAAAACAUGAUCCAUUUAAAUAGGAAUUCUCUCCAAUAAUAAGACUCUUUUUAAGAAAAAUUGUGAUGAUAAUACAUGUUACAAUAAAUAAUAAUUGUAACAUUUCAACUGCCUUGAUACUGUUGCCCAACCCCUCUUUCUCUGCUAUAUUUAAAUUCAGAUUUUAGAACAUAAACUUUUGUAUGUCAGGCUACAAAAACACACACAUCUCUCCCCUUACUAAAAAUACAUUGAAAGAAAGUUAUAUUUUUGAUGUAAUUGGAGAUUACAUUUAGUGGUACAUCAACCUAGGUGCAGUAUUUCAUAUAUUACAUAAAGUUUUUGGAUUGUGUAUACAGACACUAAAUGUAGAAGCAGAGAUUCUCCAUGAGGCUUGGCUUAAUAAGACAAUUAACAAAUUUUAUGUUUUAAAGAAUUUUAUGUUUUCUUUUAUAUGGAAACAUUGUCUCUUAAAAAUUCAGUCAAAAGAGCCCCCAAAUGUGGGAGACUGCUGGUAUGGUUACAUUGUUUAAAUGCAACUAAGAGAGAAAGGAGCGAGCAGGAGAAAUCAAACAGCGAAGGAAAGUAUAGUAUAGUUAUUUAAAUAUAAUAAAAGGGACAUGCUUUGGGAAACUGUUUAUGUAAAGCUACAAAUGUUAUCAAAAUCGGACUGAUUUUAAGAAAAUAAUCAUUACAAAAAUAUGAGAGCUGUCCUACCUAAUCUGUCAUCAUUGCUAGGGACACCAUAGGGACACUCAUUCUGACAUCAUUACUAGCGAUACCAGAGUUCCAUGGGGAAAAAUAGGUGGAAAACGAAGCGAUGUGUAAGUCUGUGAUGAUAUAUGUCAGUAGCAUUGUUCUGUGAUGAAGGUGAGAACUGUAGCAUUGAAGGGUCUAAACAACCAGGAAUUGCCCUCAAGAGCUUUACACACAGACUACUGCAGCAGAAAGCCACCCUGCAAUCAUGCAAUCCCCGUCUUGUUCCAACCAAAUGCUGACACAGAACUAUGAAUUAUGCUCAAGGAUGAAAUAUGUCACGGUCAAAGCUGCCUGUGUGCACACUGAAUGUGCCUAUUACACACAGUAAGAGAUAUUAGGAUGAAUGAAAUCCAUUAACCACAACUGGUCAUUAUUAUUGAAAUAAAGAUGUACAGUUCUUGAGAUGUCAGAUUGCCUAAAUUACUACAGUCUGGUAAAAUAUUUUUUAACUUUAUUCUGUCUACUAUUUUCUUGUCAUAGAGAAAUAAUAAAAACACACUGAUUUUAGAUUUACAAAAGAACAGCCAGUGUUUUUAACUUUGCUAAAAAUCAAUUUACUUUGUUGGAAAAUACAAUGUAAAUGAUUGCUUGCAUACAUAGGUCAUUUUAUUCAGGUAUUAGCACUGUCAUAAGUACAAUAAGUUACAGUAAAAAGUGGACUGAGUUCAGAAUAUCUGAAAUUAAAUGCCAACAACUCAGUUAUUCAUCUUCGCUUCUGCAAGUCAAAACAGUCACAAUCUGAUCUGAAGGUUAUAAUUAGGCUGAGUCCUGCCUCUGUAAAAGCAGAAUGUGUAUCUCGCGAUCUACCCACGUAUGUUUAGGAAGCCAGCAGAAAGGGCAGUUUUAAUGCAUAGGGGAGAAUACAUCAAGUGGGUAAGCAGCACAGAAAAACUAUUUUUAAACUAAGAGGCAGAGAGAGUAGGUAAGCUCUAGAUAACUGGUACUUUUCAUAGCCUAAACAAGUAUUGUUAAAGAAGACAGUAAGACUAUUUCUUAAAGACCAAGUACUAUUUCUUCUGUUACUUUCCUGCUUGGAAGGACUUCAUCUGGCUUAGAAGUGCUGGGCAGAGCUGCUUCUAUUUCUGUCACAGGGAUGUGCAGAAAACCAUCAUCCCUUCUGGCACACACACCCCACCCAUACCAGGAAAAUCUUGUGGAGUGAUCCACUUGCCAUUUUGGUUGCAUCACCCACCAAAUAAAGAAAGAAUUGGUUUGUAGUCCUUGCAUAGAAAUGAUUGCGCAGGAAGGAAUAAAGCCAUGGAUUUUUGAUCGUGGGCCUAAUCUUCAAAAUGAAAUGAUCAGGAGCAAUACUUGCAAAUUACAAAUUUUAAAAUACACGUUUUAGGAAAAGUUUUGUAAAAGGAUGUCAGUGCAGACUCUGCCACUUGAGAAUUGUGACUAUUGCAUAUAUUAAAAGUGCAACACUGUAUAGGAAAUUCACCAUAAAAUUAUUUUGAAGGUAUUGAUUGCUCAACUGAGAGCUUGGUUCCCAGGAAAGCAACAACCAGUUUGUAGAGAACAAUAAAAAAACCAGCAUCACUCCCUGUUGUUACACUGUUUUCUCUUAAGACUUUAGGAAAGAAACAAUAUCUACUGACUAUUUAAUGUUUUUUCUUCCUUCUGUAUAUAAUAAAAUGUCAUUGCAAGAAAGAAAAAUCCAAUAUUCUGCUACUAUCCAUGUGCCAAUUUCUGCACUUUCCAGCUAAGAAAAACUCCCAUUGAUUUUUGCCCUUUUAAAGGCUCUUCUAAUGCCAUGAUAAUAUCUUGGCCCAUUUACAUACAUUCACACCUCACUAAACUAAUGCUCAUUACUCAAUGUCCUCUUGUCUCUCACUUCCACUUAUUCCUACAUCAAACUUAUUCCUACUUGGCUCUUAGUGUCACUGAGCAUACGGGAUGCAGUGGGAAGCAGGUCUCUCCUUCCAGGCUGUAUGACAUUGGCUGGCCACCAAACCAGGAGCUGCCUUUGCACCCGGCUGCUGUGGUGACUCACAGGUGCUCCAGAGAAGUAGAACACGUGUAGGACUUGGCCCUUCUCGCCAUUUCCAGCAGAACAGAUCAGACUGCUCUGAUAUGCACUGGAGGGCCAGCCUGACAUUGAGCCAGCAAAGGGAAGUCAAGACAAUCUGACUGCUGCCUUAAGGUGUUUGUCUCUGGCCUUGAUCACUCCACAAUCCCUUUAGGAGUUCUUGGAGAAAACACUUAGGUGUCUCUUGGCAAACUUGAGUGUUUCUCCUUUUUUUAACAGGAAUGAAACCUGCUGCUUAUUUAUAUUCAGUCAUAUAUGCUCGCUUCACCUCGUAAAACAUAUUUUUUCCUGUAUUUUGUUUUAGUGACUUUGUGGAAUGUAGUCUAGCUUGCAAAAAAAAAAUAAAUAAAAAUCUCUGUAAUAGAUGUGUCAGUAAAAAAGGGUUUGGCCUCCACAUCACAUUUGAUUUGAAGGGUUCGCAUUAGAAAAUUCCAUCUUUAAAACUGAGUUAAUUAGCCUUAGACUUUUGGAGACAGUAAACAAAGAUCUGUUGUAUUCUAACAUGUCUGUUAUAACCACAAGAUCAGGGCAAAAAAUACAAUGAAGAAUAUGGAAGUAACCUAGAAGACAAAUGAGCUAUGAUGUUUGAUUUCAGACAUGUAAAAUUAUGGACUGCUGUCUGUAGUCAAGCUCCUCAAGAUAAAAGUUUAUAAGAAAGUAUUUUAUCUUAUCUAUCAAAUAACAUAUUUCUCUCACACGCACCUUCUCAAAGUAGACAGAUCUCAGUAAAAGGAGUAACUACAUCAUGUUAGUGCAUGAAACUGGUUGCCUUGUGAGAAGCACUGUAAGAAAAAGAAAU